rnacentral:rRNA from 1 species
UACGUAGGGGUGCAAGCGUUGUCCGGAAUUAUUGGGCGUAAAGAGCUCGUAGGCGGUUUGUUGCGUCGGCUGUGAAAUCCCGAGGCUCAACCUCGGGUCUGCAGUCGAUACGAGCAAACUAGAGUGUUGCAGGGGAGACUGGAAUUCCUGGUGUAGCGGUGAAAUGCGCAGAUAUCAGGAGGAACACCGGUGGCGAAGGCGGGUCUCUGGGCAACAACUGACGCUGGAGGAGCGAAAGCCGUGGGGAGCGAACAGG